rnacentral:rRNA from 1 species
UACGGAAGGCAGCAGUGGGGAAUAUUGCACAAUGGGCGCAAGCCUGAUGCAGCCAUGCCGCGUGUAUGAAGAAGGGCCUUCGGGUUGUAAAGUACUUUCAGUCGUGAGGAAGGUGUUAAGGUUAAUAACCUUAGCAAUUGACGUUAGCGACAGAAGAAGCACCGGCUAACUCCGUGCCAGCAGCCGCGGUAAUACGGAGGGUGCGAGCGUUAAUCGGAAUUACUGGGCGUAAAGGGCACGCAGGCGGUUAAUUAAGUUGGAUGUGAAAUCCCCGGGCUUAACCUGGGAAUGGCAUUCAAGACUGGUUAGCUAGAGUCUUGUAGAGGGGGUAGAAUUCCAUGUGUAGCGGUGAAAUGCGUAGAGAUGUGGAGGAAUACCGGUGGCGAAGGCGGCCCCUGGGACAAAGGCUGACGCUCAUGUGCGAAAGCGUGGGGAGCGAAACAGGGAUUAGAUACC